AAGAAAAUAGCUACAGAAGAAAUAAACAAGUACGAGUUCAGCUACUAAUUACCAGAAGCUCAUGAGGCCUCUGUUCAUUUUUUUGUUUUUAACCUUUUUACAGUGUGUAAACUCAACAUAGUAAUAUAAACAAAACUUCAGAGGACAUAUGCAUAGAGUAUUAACAGAUAAAGAAGGUAAGUUUUAGAAAGAACAAAACAAGUUUCUAAACAUUUGCGGAUCUCAAGCAAUGGCCAGACUACAUGGAAACUUCGUCCAUGCCAACACUCCUCGGGGGUGGUGUCAAUUGUCAUAAUCUAUAGGAGAGCAGUGUGUCGUACUAUGAAUCAUACCCAUCAACAUGGUAGUGCCAUUUCAUGGCCCUUGUCUUUGCAACCCUGGGAAACGUGGUGAGGAUACAAGUUAAAGAAGAAUAGAGUUUUAUGAUAAAAGACACUUGUCACAUGAUGAGUUAGGGAAAGAUUGAAAAUGGGAAGGAAUUCUAUGAACGCUGAACCCUAUGAGCCUGGAAUAAUGAGUAAGGAAAGGACGUAACCAUAGCUUUGAUCCUACUGUACAUGUAUAAUCAUGUGAAAUGUGUUUCAUGUGUAAGAAUAAAUUGUAUUGGGACAGAUAUGAGGUUGAUGGGAACGUGGGCAGAUUAUUUAAAAUCAUACCCAAUAUUGGUUCUUAUCUGACGAGAGCAAUUGUAACUCACAGGCAACAAAUGGAACAAACACGGGAACAGCUGCAGCAGGCAGAGCUCACCUUUAGACACUAGGUAACCUGAGUUCUGCCUGACAUACUGAACCCUUAGCACCUCACGCGGGUGAGUGUAGUGGCCCGUGGGAUCCCUAAACAUGGGCUUUUCAUUGUUGGCUUUUUCAGCUCGCAGUUCAUGAGAAGAAUGCUUAGGACAACUAGGUUCUUGUUUCCUCCUCUUUCUUUGGUGCGCACUCUGGCACGACUGAAGGUGGAUGUGUUUUUUCUCCCCCAGAUCAAGACUCAGAUCUGGGACAGGGAGAUGGCGGAGCAGGGCAGGGAGGUCGCUUACUUGAAAUACAGGUGUGGUCAUUUGACUUGCGUUUUUAUGGGUGUUUCCAGGGAUGACGCCUGCACUGUUAGUUGUCUAGUAGACGACAUGGUGUUGCAACUCUUACAGAAGUCCAUAUUUUUCUGUAUCCAAGACUGGACGGGAUGGAAGCAAAGAGGCUGCCUGAGGGAUACACAAGGCAGAAACCAAUGGCUGCAAGACCAGAGAUGCAGAACCCUCCAAAGAGAGGUAAGAAGCACGUUGUGAUGUGCCCCAGUCUAAUUUCUGCUGUGCAGCCUGUUCCUGUGGGUGAUCAUCGUGUGGUCUGGAAAGAAUCACAAGCACUAAGGAUGGCAGGUGGUCUGAAGGGGUGACAGAAGGGUGUUCUCCUCUGGUGCCGCAGACAGUGAGGCACUUGUCCCUGUGACUGGUGGAGCUCAUGCCCCUUCUCUGACGGUGACCCUCCCACCUCCUCUAGCAUCCCCCUGUCUGAAGAGCCUGGAAAGGAUGACAGGACAUGGGCCUCAUCCUUCUUCCCACCCGGACUCAAUGCGAAGACUUUAGUUUAUUUGAGGAGAAGGUCAUUUAUUCACUAUUUUUAACGGUCUUUAUUUUUGUUUGUUUUUGGGAACUGUAGCCCUGCAUCCCUCAAUUCAAAUUCCAUAGAGCUUAGCUUAGCCCUCUGAUGGUAUCAGUGCAACCCUGAAGCUUCACUGCUAACUUCUCAUAGUUCUCCUUUUCUCAAUAGUGUAAAAUUAGUCUUUUGUUAUAUAAUAACUGCUCUCAUGUGGAAGGCAGCUUGUAGAUAAGCUGAGAGAUUGAACAAUUCGCCUGAAGUCUGAGGAAACGCACCCUUCUUGAGGAUUCAUUGAGGAUAUACACCAAACCAGUAUUCUCAACUUUAUUCUUUUUUUUUUAGGUUUAUUUAUUUUGAUAGAGACAUAGUAUGUCUGGGAGGCAUAGAGUGAGAGGCAGAGACAGAAUCCCAAGCAGGAUCCACACUGUCAGUGAGGAACCCAAUGCUGGGCUCGAAUUCACAAGCUGUGAGAUCAUGACCUGAGCCAAAAUCAAGAGUCGUGUGCUUAACCCAAGCAUUAGCAUUGAGCCACCCAAACGUGCUCAUAUUUAUUCUUAAUCUGUAAUGAAAUGGUGAUUCCCAUGAUGUAUACUGAGAAACCUCUGUUUUACUGAUGAAUUCUAAAUUGCUAGUUGAGCCUGACCUGUCCAUAGUUAUUUGAUUAAUUAUGAAACAACAUGGACCAGGACACCAUGAGGUCUUUAUCAAGGGUCUUUGGUAGAUCCAGAAACUGCUGAAACCUCUGUGAGUUAGAGCAGCUCUGACUGUACCAAGAAUGCAGACAAGGACAAGGUAAAUGCCGGGGCCAUUCUCAGUUGUAACUCUUUUGGGAAACUCUCAUCUUCAUGUACAGCACGCUCUCCCGGCCUUGUCUCGUUUUGCGUGUUGUGUGAUAUGUCUGUUUUCCAAACGCACACUCAUAACCCAGAAGCCCACAGGCUUCUCAAUUUUUAGUCUGUCAGCUUUCUGCGGUAAGUUUAGAAGCCAAAAGUGCUCAGAGACGGAGUACCUUAAGGUUUUUCCGUGAGUUUCAGGAAAUAAUGAGAGGAGGAUGACUCCACACUCCAAACAGAGGUCUCCUGGCCUGGGUGACCCCUUCCAGACCUCACCUCUGUGGGAACAGUGUGGCUGCUGUGAAUCUCCUUUCUUGAUUCUGGGUAGGAGAUGAACCUGUUAGAAACAACAUCGUGACUCCAACUUUAUAUUUUGUGCCCUGUGCCAUUUAGAGUGGUCCUAGAUAAAGUCAGUGUCAUCACUCAUCACCUUCCCGUCUUUGUUGGUAAAUGAGUUGUCUGGAAUCCUUCCAGCUAUACCUUAGGUAAAACUAGUUUGAACACUGUGUCCUUCAGUUGUGUUUCUAUGAGCAGUUUCUGGUUGUGUCCCCAGUCACUGUUAGAGCUGAUACAGUCUCAUGACACAUACAGGAGUUUUAUACCAAAACACUUGCAUGAAAUCUGUUAUGUGAAUUUCUCCCUCUUUUUUUCUGUUGCACAUAAUUACUGUGUCCUGUAGUAUGCUUAAAGUCAGAAUUCCCUAUGAAUUAAGAUGAACACAUCUGAGCUUUGUAGACCUUCACCACAAGUAACUUGUUCCUCACAGAAGACUCUCAUUCCUCUGCAAGAUUCCAGGCAUCCUCCACCCCCCAGAGGUCUCAGAGGCCUUUGACAACACUUCAAGAGGGAAGACUCCUUUCUCAGGGAGAGGAGCAGAGGAGGCACAGCGAGGGUCCGGCUGCAGAGCGUUUUGCCAGGAGUGGCUGUGAGUCCAUGAGCAGAAUAUGAGCCAUGUAUUCCCACUCAUUUUUUUGUGUUCUUAAUAUACCAAAAGCAGAGCAUCUGGAGUCGCUGUAGAGGAGGGAUGCAGGGUGAACCUGGACAUCGAUGGCUGCAUGUCGGGAGAAUCCAACUUCAUUAGUCUGUAAUUAUUUCUGUUAACCCUCUAGGACAGGACCCUUGCCAGUUUACUUCCGCAGACAUGGGCAGUGAUGUGUGGUGGCAUCCAGUGGCAGGGACAGAGUUUUCAGGGCAGUCUGGAUCCUGGGGACCUCCUCCUUUAACUGGACGAUUCUGCAUGCCCUACCCUGGAGACGCCCCGCCCCCAUGGACUAUUAGGCACGUCCACCUCCUGAACCUUAGUGGCCCUGAAGCCACCCGGAACCCCUCCACCUGCAACACUUGGUAAGAUGAUCUGAGCACUAGGAGUUGACUUGUAAAACACACUCACCUUAUUUUUGUUGCUGUUAGGUCUUGGGCCAAGGUGCAGAGGAGGUACCACAGACCAUUGUGAUGCAAGGGGAAUGUCUGCUGCCAUUACCACAUUCCUCAAGUUUCUCAGGAUCUCAUCUUUGUCAUUUCCCCCAUCAUGGGUCCAGGAGCAGGUGUCACACCCAAGAGUGACAUCGACACUGGCUCUGCCAAAACUGCCGAGAAACACAAGGCUAUUAUGUAUUCAACAGGGCCUGGUCCUUUCCCAGGAUUGCCUUGCAGGCUGUUCCCCAUGGACCACCCUUCACCACCAGUCAUGGGCUAUAGGCCACGUCCCCCUCCACCACCAGCUCCUCCACCUCCUCUAUUUGUUAAGAUGACCUGAACUGGAUGAGAGGCUGGUAAAGUAUAUUCAUCUUCUUCACGAUUGACUUUGUGGGAAUGAUGUAGAGAUGGCUGUGAGUCUUGGCAAUGCAACUACCAACUGCCUGAGGACACUGUAGCAUAUCUCAAGUUUCUCAGGACAUGCAUACAAUGGGCAGUGUCAUUUCCCUGUAAUACGGUGAACUAUACAUUUCUCUUGUCAAAUGAAAGAGGAUUUUUUACACAAAAGCAGACGUAUCAGCAGCACUGGUGCAUAUUUUGGAGACACAAUGUUUUGGGUUCUGUAAAGAAUGAGGUGCACUCCUAACUUUUAGAGCAUCAGGUGUCCUGUGUGAAAGAGGGACAUGCAUUAAAUGACACAGACCUUGUGAUCACCAUAAUGGAAACACCAGUGAAGGAUCCAGUGCAAAAAUGGGGGAACCUUGAAUCAUACAGGAAUAGAAGGGAAGUUGAGCACAGUAAGCAGAGUUUGAGGAGGUGCAGAGGGGAGGGUGUUGGGGUUAGUGAGAUGCAGUUGGAGGUCAUUCCUGGCCACAGCCUGAGCAGGGAGUGUGAAGUCCACACAGAGCUGCUAUGUGGGGUCGCUCUCAGUGCACAAUGCAGUGUUCAUCUCCAAAAGGUCAGUGUGUUGCCAAAGUGCACGCAGGUAAUCAUCUAAAAAGAUUGUCUCCCUGGAUUUUCCUGAAGGGUCUGGGUAUUUGUGGGGGAAAAAAAGCCCUGGAGAUAUGGGGAAUUUAACUUGGUGUUAUGAAAAUGCUGUAUGCCCAAGUUCCUAUCCCUCAGUGAGACUAAAAGUGGAGACAGGAUCUAGAUCAGCUGAGUGCCUGCAUUGGCCUUCAGCCUGAGUCAGACUCAGGCCCACUUAGUGGGUCAACCUACAAUUCAGGGUUGGCCAGAAGCUGCCCCCGCUGGACCCCUGUCAUCACCCUGACUACAGCUUUGCAUCUCCUCAGACUUCUCUCACAAUAUCCUGAGGCUUUGCCUGUGUUCCUGCUGUCUCAGCCCUAAUACCAGUUCUCAGUGGGACCUACACAGAGCCUCAGCUGUGUUUUCUGUGAAAACAGGGGUAAUAUUUGUUUCUAAGAACAUUUUAAAAAGAAGACAUUAUAUACAUAAAGCAUCUGCAAAAUCUCUGGGAAGUGUCCACUCACCCUUCUCACAGUUUCAAUUGAGAUAUCUCCACACAAAGGUCCUCCAAAAAAGAUGGUCACUGGAGUUCAUUAAACUAAGACUGUUAACAACUCAGCCCAGGGAUUGGGAAUCACAAUUUUAAACAAUAAGGUAAGGUCCCUUGUUUUUCUAUUAAAAUUCGGGCCCUGCCAGACAAAGAAAGAAAAGAUAAUUAUGAGCCUGUGUACAUUCAGAGAUCCAGAUCUGAAGACAAUCAUUUUCCAUUACAUAUAAUCUCACAGAUGCAGCCACACACUAAAGUGUUCAUCUGAGCUCACAGCCACAGAUAAACUACAGAAGACAGAAUGCAUGUAGGAAGACAUAAGAUCAGAGGGAAAUACCCAAAAUCUCUUUGCCUUAUAGGACAACUCUUUUGAAAUUUGAAGAGGACUGUGCACGGUGACAGACUAUGGUGUUGUGUUUGUAUAUACAUUUUAAGAAGGUGUCAGAUCUGCCUGAAUGCUUUCCCUGCCCAUCCUGUCCCCUCCACUUUGUCCUUCCUACUGUCCCCUAACCCACCUUUCAUCGUUUUCUGUGUCGGCGUUUGCUUCUAGACCCAUCUACUCUCACUCCCCAUCGAGUGCACACAGUAGGGUUCCUGUACACACAGGUAACAAACUGGCAGAAAUAGAGGAUAGAAGAUCACCUUUUGUGCAGGGGAGCCCGAGGGAGUUUUCUAGGGUGAUGGGAACUUCCUAUAUCUAGACUGAUGGGGUGCUUAUGCUCAUUUAUUUUAGAAAUAUUCACUGACUCCCUGGUGCCUUGGGGUCAGAUAGACAGGUAUCUGUCCCUGGGAAAUGGUGGAGUUCUAAUGGUGGGGAAGGAUGAGGGACCAGCAGUGACUGUGGGAGAGCAGUGAAGAGGCCACAAUGGAGUCAGACCCUAACCCAGGAUGCCAGGUCUCCACAGACAGCACCACGUGUAGGAGGGCUCUGAGGAGCAGAGAUUUCUGGAUCAGACCUGUGAACUACAUAAUCCUCCUGCAGUUUCCUCACUGAGGGAUGGACAGGGUAGAGGCCAGCAGCUGGAGGACACCCUGAUCAUGGCUGGAUUGGAGCAGGGGACCUGAGGGAUUGAGUCAGAGAAAGGGACAGGCAGAAGGUAGCGACAGGGAGUUUGAGAGACAAAGGGAAGGGAAGAGAAGGGACCUUUCUCUGCCGACUUCACCUACAUUUCUGUGUGACCAAAAGGAGACUCUUGUCUCCAAGGGUAGGGAAGAGGGCUGGCAAAAAGAGUGACAUUCUCAGCUCAAGUGCUCAGGAUAUCUGCCUUGCUCUUGAGUACCUAACACAGGAAGCCCAUGCUUUCUGUCAUGGUUGGAACUGCAGCUCAUACCAUUUAGUGAAAAUCAAUCCAAUUAUGAAUCCCUCAACAUUAAAGUACUGAAAGAAAAUUAAGUGAACAGACUGAAAGAUACACACACCUUUGGAUAAAGUCCAAAGGUACACUGACUGCAAUACUUACAGGAAUAUAGUCUAUCAGAAAAGAAGUUAGGUACCCCAGUGCAGUCAUUCAGACACCUGGGCAAUAUCUGAAAACAUAAAAAAAAAAAAAUGUAGUCCUUACUUCAAAAGCAACAUUAGCACUAGACACAAAGGGAUCAGGAUUUAAGGUUUAGAGAGAAACCAUAUGACUUCAUGGUGCUGUACCCAUGAGAGCAAGUCUCAUCAAAUUAUACCCUUUAACUUGAAGGCUAUUUGUUAUAUGUAAAUUAUACUUCAUUAAAGAGAGUUUCAAAACAUAAAAUACAGAAGCAAAUGUGGGAAAGUUCCUUUCUAAUCCUGAAGUGCGUGCGUGAUGGGAGUCUGACCAUGUCUCAACAACCCGAAAGAUGAAGACAUUUAAAAAAAUUAAUAACAUUAGAGUAAGAGGACCCUGAGCUCACCCUGUCCCAUGUUUUCAACUACAUAACAUCCACAUCCAAGUCCAUAACCACAGAGCGAUCCAAAGAGUGGCAGAACUCCACAACUAAAUAGAUAGAAGCUGUACCUGAAAGGUUAGAAAGGUCAGAAAGGUGGAGGGCGGCUGCCUGCAGAGAGGGCAGAGAAAGUGAGCCCUCACACCAGGGAGCUCACACAGGGAAGACUAAUCCCCAGAACCUUUGGCUUUGAAACCCAGGGGGGCUGAAUUCCCUUGGGUUUGGAUCCUGGAGCUUUGGAGGUCAGCUGACCCAGCACUGGGUGAUCCAGAAGGCUGAAUGGUAACCUACAGGUCCCUGCCUGUGUAGAGAGGCAAUGUAAACAUGGCAUUUUACACAGUGCCAAGGCAACAGGAGGCAGAUCUGUUCAUGCUGACUUCUGAGUGGUGGCGGUAAUUUUCCAACAAUGAGGGAGCUCACAGGGACCAUUCCCUCCCCCCCCGCCCCACCCAGAUUAAGCACAGAGGCACUUACCAGGGAGUGGACCUACAAAGACGCUUGCUACCCUACAUGCUAGCUGUGUGCCAGUCCCAAGAGUUCUCUGGGGGACUCACCCACUCCAAGCCUGCUGGCCUCAGGGCAAACUGUUAAAACCGCAUGGGCACCUUGUCUGGCCAGCUGCAGGCAAAGCUGCCACUGCACACUGUGCCCAUCUGUACCGCACCCAGCUGUGCGCCCCCAGCUACCCUCAUCUGUCCCCCCCACCCCCCAGCCACUGACGUACUCUGUGCACAGCCUUGAGCCCCUGGUUGCCCUGGUGCAUAGCUCCCAGCCACCAAAGGACAGCUACGAUUUGUCAACAGAAUCUUGGCAAGUCAGAAGGAAGUGACAUGACAUGUUCAAAGUGCUGAAUGGAAAAAUCAGCAGCCAAGAAUAUUCUAUCCAGCAAGGCUAUCAUUCAGAAUAGAAGGAGACAGAGUUUCCCAAACAAAAACUAAAGGAGUUUGUAUCACUAAACCAGUCCUGCAAGAAAUAUUAAGAGGGACUCUGAGUGGAAAGAAGAGACCGAAAGUGACAGUAGAGAGGAAACACAAAUCCAGUAAAAAUGAAUAUUUCUGUAAAACAUCAGUUGAGGAACUCACAAAAAUGGAUAUAAAAUAUAAUUAUAUGUACCAAAACACAGGGAGGAGAAAAUAAUGAGUUCAGAGGUAAAUGACCAUCAAUUUAAUACAAACAGCUAAAAGCAAAGAAAUUAUGUAAAAACCUAAUGGUCACCGUACAUCAAAAACCACUCAUAAAUAUGCAAAGAAUAAGGAGAAAGAAAUCAAAUCACUAAAGUAAAUCAACAAAACAUGAAAGAGAAAGACAAGAAAGGGUUCAGAAAAUCAUUAGAAACCACAACAAAACAGGUAAUAAAAUGGCAAUACAUUCAAUAAUUAAUUUGAAUGUAAAUGGAAUGAAUGCUCCAAUAAAAAGACAUAGAGUGUAAAAAUGGAUGAAAAAACAGAUUUAUAUGCUGUCUGCAAGUGACCCAUUUUAGACCUCAAGACACCUACAGAUUGAAAAUGAGAGGAUGUCAAGAAACAUCACACAAAUGAAGGUCAAAAGAAAGCCGGGGUAGCAAUACAUGUAUCAGAGGGGAAAAAAAGAGGACUCAAAGAAAAUCACAAAUGAGAGGGGCACCUGGGUGGCUCAGUCGGUUGAGCCUCCGACUUGGGCUCAGGUCAUAAUCUCACACCCUGUGAGUUCAAGCCCCGUGUUGGGCUCUGUGCUGACAGCUCAGAGCCUGGAGCCUGUUUCAGAUUCUGUUUCUCCUUCUCUCUCUGACCCUCCCCCAUUCAUGCUCUGUCUCUCUCUGUCUCAAAAAUAAAUAAACGUUAAAAAAAUUAAAAAAAAAGUAAAAUCACAAAUGAGAGAGGAGAAAUCACAGCCAACACCUCAGAAAUACAAAAAAUCAUAAUAUUAUGAAAACUUGUAAGUCAAAAAUUUGGACAAUUUACAAGAAACAGAUAAAUUCCUAGAACAUAUAAGUUACAUAAACUGAAACAGAAAGAAAUAGAAAACAUAAACAAUAGCCAGCAAACAAAUUGAGUCAGUAAUCAAAAAAACUCUCAACAAUCAAAAGUAGAGGAGCAGGUGACUUCACAGGUGAAUUCCACCAAACAGUUAAAACAUGGUUAAGACCUCAUCUUAAGCUAUUCCAAAAUAUAAAAAAGGAUGGAAAACUUCCAAAUUCAUGCUAUGAGGCCAGCAUUACCCUGAUACCAAAACCUGAUAAAGAGUUCACUAGAAAAGAGAACUCCAGGCCAAUACCCUUGAUGAACAUGGAUGCAAAAAUUCUCAAAUACUACCAACCAAAUUCAAAAAUACCUUUAAAAAAUCAUUCACCACAAUUAAGUGGCUUUGUUCCCAAGCUGCAAGGUGGUUCCAUAUUUGCAAAUCAAUCACUGUGAUGCAUUACAUCACUGGGAGAAAGGAUAAGAACCAUAUGAUCAGGGCUCCUGGGUGGCUCAUUCCUUGAAGCGUCCGACAUUGGUUCAAGUCAUGACCAUAUGGUUCAUGAUUCAAGCCCUGUGUUGGGCUCUCUGCUGACAGCUCAGAGCCUGGAGCCUGCUUCAAAUUCUGUGUCUCCCUCUCUCUCUGCCUCUACCCCACUCACAUUCUGUCUCUGUCUUUCAAAAAUGAAUAAAUGUUUCAAAAAAAAAUACGGUCAUAUCAAUACAUGCAGAAAAAAGCAUUUGACAAAGUACAACAUCCAUUCAUGAUUAUAACCCCCUAAAGUAGGUUUACAGGGAACAUACAGCAAUGUAAUAAAAGUUAUCUAUGAAAACCCCACAGUUAACAUCGUCCUUAGCAGGGAAAAUCUGAGAGCUUUUCCUAUAAGGUCAGGAAGAAGACAAGGAUGUUUACUCUCACCACGUUUCAUAAACAUAGUACUGGAAGUCCAAGCCACAGCAAUCACACAAAAAAAACAUACAAAUCUGGAAGAAGUGAAACUUUCACACUUUGCAGAUUACAUGACACUAUAUAUAGAAAACCCUAAAGAGUCCACCGAAUAACUGCUAGAACUGAUAAAUAUAUUCAGCAAUAUCACAGGAUACACAAUCAUUGUACAGAAAUCUGUUGCAUUUCUAGACAACAAUCAUGAAGCAGUAGAAAGAGAAAUUAAGAAAAGAGUUCCAUUUACAGUUGCACACCAAAUAAUAAGAUAUCUAUGAGUGAAUGUAACCAAAGUGGUGAGUGACCUAUACUCUGAAAACUGUAAAACAGUGAUGAAAGAAAUUCAAGAUGACACAAAGAAAUGGAAGGACAUUCCAUACUCAUGGAUCAGAAGUACAAAUGUAGUGAAAUUGUCUAUACUUCCCAAAGCAAUUGACACAAUUAAUGCAAUCUGCAUCAAAAUACCAACAGCAGUUUUCACAGAACUAGAACAGUCCUAAAAUUUGUAUGGAACCACAAAAGACCCCAAUCUUCAGAGUAAACAUUCUUUAUGUGAAGUGAUAAUUAUGGAUGGCAUUAUACCUCUGGAUCUUCUGCUCCAAGACACAUGAACUCUGGCCUAAGCAUAUGAACAAGUGUUAGACAUAUCCCAACCAAGGAUCAUUCUGCAAAAUACAUUCUACAAAUGUACCCUCAAAACUUUGCAGAUUAUGAAAAGUAUGGAAAAUCUAAAAUUGGUUGUGACCAGGUGGAGCCUAAGGAGACAGGAUGACUAAAUGUAAUACGCCAGCUGGGAUGAGUCUGGAACAGGAGAGGUUAAAACCAAAGAAAUCUGAAUAAACAUAUAAAUUUUAGUUAAUACUACCAUAUCUCUUUGGGAUAUUGAUUGUGAUAAUGUACCAACUCAUAUGACAUCAAUAGAAAACAGUCUGAUGUAUGUGGAGACUCAGUACUAUCUUCCCAAUUUUUUAUUGGUAACUAGAAGCCCAUCAUGAAUGAAAACAUUAGUAAUCAUGGUUUUAUUUUUCAAUACAUAAUAUUAUAUAACUAGUUCUAGUAUUAGUUACUAGUGAUGGCCAUGUACCUAUUCUUGUUGUUCUUACUAUUGUUUAAUUUAAAUAAUAGCAUUCAUGGUACAGAAAACUGAAUGCAUGAUAAACACUUCAUAGAAACAUCUACUUCACAUAUUUUAAGAUAACGUAUGUAUAUACCACUGUAUUAUGUGGUAUGUAAAUUAAGUGUUUUUCUGAUCUUGAACGAACAUGUCAUUGAAUGGCUUUCCAUAAAGGUGGUUAUCCUAGAUAAUGAAUGAUACUCAAAUUUUACAGGAUGUACUCACAUCAUGCCUGAACAUUGUCAAAAAUAAAAAUAUACACAUGGCCAGAUGAAUCAUUGUGACUGGCUCAUUUAUUGUAAAGAAUCCUUGCUUUAAUAUUUUCACGCAUAUUUUUGGCAGGAAUACAAGAAAAUCAUAUAUUUCCAAAUCAAAGAGAUAUUCAAAGACUUGAAUAAUGAUAGGGAGUUCAAGGGGUUUCUGAAGGAAGAGAUGUGACCAUGAGUGGGGAGUCACAGGCAAGCAGCUUUCUCUGCUCCAUUAUGACAUGUUUGCAUGAGGAUAUGUGACUGCCAAAGGGUAAGACCCAGAAUUACAAGAGGGAAAGACAAUGCUUUAGGAAGAAGUGACUUGGAAAGGGUGUUCCUGUGCCUAAGUGAUGGCUCAGCAACCUGGCUGCGGGUCCCUGGGUCAAAGACUUCAAAAGACCAGCGGUAACCUAGACUAAUGAAGAUCUUAGUAACAUAGAUCAAUGUAUCUUAGAACCACAAAGACUUAGAGCCACAGAGUUGAUCUUCACCUAUGAUUGGGACAUGGCCACAGUUUCACAGGACCUGAUCACUGGGCCGGCAGUAGAUGGCUAAAAUAUUAUUUAGGGCUAUACAUUUAAUAAAAAAAUGUAUGUGUAAAAAUUUGGGUUUGGAAUGUUAAGAAAAAUCACAGGCCCAACGUUACUUAUGUUAAGACCCCAUGUCACUAAACCUAAUUUCAUUCCUGCAGGAAAGUAACCUUUAACCAGUCAGCAAAGAAUUUCGUAGUCAGUGCUGGAAAUUUAACUGAUAGAUCCCUGCCAUUCCCCUCAGAGGCAGUCUUGCCUAAAUAAGGUAUUCCAUGCCACUAAGUUUUUUUAAAGUUUAUUUAUUUUUAGAGCGAGAGAAAAGAGAGUACAUGCAAGGGAGGGGCAGGACGAGAGGGAAAGAGAGAAUCCCACAACCAUGAGGUCAUAAUCUGAUCCAGGAUCAAGAGUCAGACACUUAACCAAGCCAUCUAGGCACCCCGAGAUUGUGAGGUUUUAAAGGUUAGCAGGCUUGCUGGGAUACAGCCCCGAGGGCACUGGCCUACUCCUGAAGAGAAGGCAGCAAACAACUUGCAGGCAGAUGGCAUGGAAACAGUGAUCUGUACAACGCCUGUUGCACACAGUGGGGAGAUUAUGUACUCAUCGUGGAGAGCAUCCCUGAGAAGCAGUGUUCACAAUGAGGGGACAAAGAGCUAGGACAGAGGAGCUGCGUGGUGCCAUUUCCCUGCUCUGCCCCCGCUCCCCCUCCCCUCUGGCAUAAACACAGAGCCAUCUGCUGGAAACAAAGCAAUUCCCACACUGGCUGCCCAAGGUGCUUACACCAACCCCACCUUCCUGUGCUCUGGAGAGACUGGCCUUCUAGGUCAUUCAAGCUUGCCUCAGUCCCAAUGGAGCUGGCCCAUUCCCCAGAAGACCAGUGGAAGCCCAUGACCACACCACCUCUCUUGACCAGACAGUUAUGCAGGACUUCACUUCGAGUGGCAGUCGUUUCAAGUCUCAUUAACAAGCAGAUCAGAGCAGACCUAGACAAGUCUCACCACAUUCUGGCAAAGGACCAUACAUUGCCCAUACAACUGGCCUGAAGGAUAGUGUGGCCAGAGCACAAAACAGUGCAUGCAACACACACCAAAGACAAUCCCUGAUGUGCCAGGCCCUGGACACUAGAUGAUCUCCUCUUCAUAAAGCAAUUCAUCUCACAGGCAGGUAACAUAAUGAGCUUUGGUAACACAGAGAAGACAAAUACUCAGCUAAAAUGCCAAGACAAGAGGAAGGCAUCCCAAAUGAAAGAACAAGAUAAGAUCAUGGCCAGAGAAAUGAAAGGAACACUUCCAAACUCAUUCUAUGAGGCCAGUAUGGCCCUGAGUCCAAACUGGACAAAACCCCACUAAAAAGGAAAACUACAGAUCAAUUUCCCUGAUGACCCUGGAUGCAAAAAUUCUCAACAAAGAGUAGCAAACCAGAUCCAACAAUACAUAAAAAAGAAUUAUUCAGCACAAUGAGGUGGAAUUUAUUCCUGGGAUGCACAACCGAUUCAAUAUCUGCAAAUCAACUGAUGUGAUACAUCACAUUGAUAAAAGAAAGGAUAACAACCACAGGUUCCUCUCAAUAGAUACAGAAAAACGUUUGACAAAAUGCAGCACCAUCCUUUCUUGAUGGAAAAAAAAAAAAAAAACCUCAUGAAAGGAGGGAUAGGAGUAUCAUGCCUCAACAUGAGAAUGUCCAGAUAUGAAACAGCUAAUAUCAUCUUCCACAGCUAAUAUCUUCAAUGGUGAAAAACUGAAAACUUUCCCCCUAAGGUCAGGAAAACGACAGGGAUGUCCACUCUCAGCACUGUUAUUCACCAUUCUGUUGGAAGUCCUAGCCUCAGCAAUCAUACAAAAAAAAAAAAAAAAAAAAAAGAAAUACAAGGUGUCCAAGUUGGCAAGGAGGAGUCAAACUUUCCCUGCUCACAGACAUGAUACUCUCCGUGGAAAAUCCAAAAGACUCCACCAAAAAACUUCUAGGACUGAUACAGCAAUUCAGGAAAGUCUCAGAAUGUAAAAUCAAUAUACAGAAAUUGAUUGCAUUUUUAUACACCAAUAAUGAAUCAGAAGAAAGAGAAAUCAAGGAAUUGAUCUCAUUUAAACUGCACUGAAAACCAUAAAA